GGCAGUGUGUCUCAGUAGAAAGAGCCUGGGCUUGGGAGUCAGUGAUCAUGGGUUCGAAUCCCAACUCUGCCA
rnacentral:tRNA from 1 species